ACGGAGGGAGCUAGCGUUGUUCGGAAUUACUGGGCGUAAAGGGCGUGCAGGCGGUUGGCUAAGUUCGUUGUGAAAGCGCCCAGGCUUAACCGGGCGAGGACAAUGAAGACUGGUCAGCUAGAGGACGGUAGAGGGGUGUGGAAUUCCGGGUGUAGUGGUGAAAUGCGUAGAGAUCCGGAGGAGCACCAGAGGCGAAGGCGACACCCUGGGCCGUACCUGACGCUAAGACGCGACAGCACGGGGAGCGAACGG
rnacentral:rRNA from 1 species